rnacentral:lncRNA from 1 species
CCUAAAAAAAAGCCUUAAAUGUUAUUGUACUUAUGCAAGAAGAUAGUGACUUAGUUCUUUAUGUAUAUUAGACAAUUGGUUAAUUUUAGUUUUAACCAAAAUACAGGUUUUUCCCUUCUGCAUCUGUGAAACUGUGCUGGGGAGACAUACAUGUGACAACGGGCAAUGUAAGAAUCUAUAAAAGUGGAAUAGCUUCAGAAAAACUAGCCCUUUUCUUUACUGUGAAGUAUUUUAGAAAUUAUCAUCGUGCAGCAUGCCAUGCCAGGAGGAAUACUCUUAACUGGAAACAAACUGG